rnacentral:rRNA from 1 species
AACGAACGCUGGCGGCAGGCUUAACACAUGCAAGUCGAGCGCCCCGCAAGGGGAGCGGCAGACGGGUGAGUAACGCGUGGGAAUCUACCCAUCUCUACGGAAUAACGCAUGGAGACGUGUGCUAAUACCGUAUACGUCCUUCGGGAGAAAGAUUUGUCGGAGAUGGAUGAGCCCGCGUUGGAUUAGCUAGUUGGUGGGGUAAAGGCCUACCAAGGCGACGAUCCAUAGCUGGUCUGAGAGGAUGAUCAGCCACACUGGGACUGAGACACGGCCCAGACUCCUACGGGAGGCAGCAGUGGGGGAUAUUGGACAAUGGGCGCAAGCCUGAUCCAGCCAUGCCGCGUGAGUGAUGAAGGCCCUAGGGUUGUAAAGCUCUUUCACCGGUGAAGAUAAUGACGGUAACCGGAGAAGAAGCCCCGGCUAACUUCGUGCCAGCCGCCGCAGUAACAC